rnacentral:lncRNA from 1 species
UGAUCAACGGUUAUUACAGCUCUGGGGUUCCUUACAGUCAAAAGAUUUGUCUCUGUCAAGAUUUUUAGUAGAGGAAAAGGCAUUAUCUUCUAGAUAGGGUUAUAUAAAGCAGCUCUCCAGCAUUAAGAAACAUAGCUUUGCCAAUACUUCUGCUCAUUGCAAAGAAACAGGGUACACUUGGUCUUUCCUGAUGACGCUUUUAAGAGAAAGGCAGAGUUGACCCUGGGCUUUCAAAAAACUGUUCUUUCAGGCAAAACCUCAGAGAGAACUGGCUGCUAGUGAUCCUCUGCAGAGACCUUGAAGAGCACGGCAAUUAUGAAACUUCAACAAGAAAAGAUUUAAGCUGAUCUUUUAAAAAAAUAUAUACUGUCAGGAAUUUUGUAGAAAUGACUUUAAUGUAAUAACUGCUUCUUUGACUUAUGUUUUGUCUUGUGGUGAAAAGAAAAAUAUUUAUAAAAGCAUGCCUGUGUCCUAAAAUUGGGGACACAAACUUAAAUGACUGAAGGCACUUGAGGAGUGGAGGCAAGGAUGGUGAAACCAGGCCCUGUACCAAGCAGGAGAGCGUGAACCUGCUAAAGAGAGUGACUGCUUCUCAUUUCCAGUCAAUGCGACUGGUGUCGCAUUCCAGUCAAAUGGAGUUGCGACACCAUUUCAGCCACAGCGAUUGAUCUGGAUUUUCUGUAAAAUUCCCUGAUUUUUACAUAUUGC